AAAAAAGAAGAUAAAACAUCUCAUUUUCAGUCUGAUUCUGAUCCAUAAGUCAUCUUCCUGUGAGGAGGAGUUCAUGUAAAACAUCUUCCAGCUCUUAUUUAUCUAGAGGGACGACAGAAAACAGCAAACGACAUUUGAACAUGAUGGACUGUAGAACAGGACUGCUGCUGCUGCUGGCUGCUGGAUCCUGUGUGAAGUGUGAACAGCUGACUCAGCCAGCCUCUGUGACUGUGCAGCCAGGUCAGCGUCUGACCAUCAGCUGUCAGGUCUCUUAUGAUGUCAGGAGGUAUGCAACAGCUUGGAUCAGACAGCCCGCAGGAAAAGGACUGGAAUGGAUCGGGUGGAAAUCUGCUGGAGACUCUCGCCAUAAAGAGUCACUGAAGAACAAGUUCAACAUUGAUUUAGACUCUUCCAGUAAGACAGUGAAUCUGAUUGGACAGAACAUGCAGCCUGAAGACUCUGCUGUGUAUUACUGUGCCAGAGAGCCACAGUGGCACAAACAUCAGAACAGCUGAACUAAAACCCCUCAGAGUCUGAAGGCAGAUGCAAUCCAUCACCAGAAGAGGAGCGCUCAGACCAUUAAUGAUUCCCAGACCAGUGGACUUUAUUAUUUAAUGGGUUAUGCAGCGUUGAAAUCUUCAUUUUAAACCCACACGCUGAAACAGACACGACAAAAGAAA